GACGAACGCUGGCGGCGUGCCUAAUACAUGCAAGUAGAACGCUGAAGAGAGGAGCUUGCUCUUCUUGGAUGAGUUGCGAACGGGUGAGUAACGCGUAGGUAACCUGCCUGGUAGCGGGGGAUAACUAUUGGAAACGAUAGCUAAUACCGCAUAAAAUGGAUUAUCGCAUGAUAAUCCAUUGAAAGGUGCAAAUGCAUCACUACCAGAUGGACCUGCGUUGUAUUAGCUAGUUGGUGGGGUAACGGCUCACCAAGGCGACGAUACAUAGCCGACCUGAGAGGGUGAUCGGCCACACUGGGACUGAGACACGGCCCAGACUCCUACGGGAGGCAGCAGUAGGGAAUCUUCGGCAAUGGACGGAAGUCUGACCGAGCAACGCCGCGUGAGUGAAGAAGGUUGUCGGAUCGUAAAGCUCUGUUGUAAGAGAAGAACGAGUGUGAGAGUGGAAAGUUCACACUGUGACGGUAUCUUAACAGAAAGGGACGGCUAACUACGUG
rnacentral:rRNA from 1 species